rnacentral:misc_RNA from 1 species
UAUUCCCCUAUUAUCUUUGACGUAGUC